UUUUACUCCCUUAUUACCAUCCUUCACCUUCCAAUACCUUACCAUUGCUUACGCUGUUCUUCCUUGUGACCAAAUCUGAACAAAAAGAGGCUGAAGGUAACUGGUAAAGAAAGAAGACUAGUCCGGGGGAUGGAAUCCGAAAUGGAAGCGCAGAGCGCCGGGGCAGAGGAGGGCUUUACCCAGGUCACCGGUAAGGGUGGCCGGAAACGACAGUCUGAACAGCUGUCCGCAGCGGGAGAGGGCGGGGAUGCGGGCCGGAUGGACACAGAGGAGGCCAGGCUGGCGAAGAGGCCCGUCUUCCCACCCCUCUGUGGGGACGGGCUCCUGAGUGGAAAAGAAGAAACAAGGAAAAUUCCACUCCCAGCUAACAGAUACACACCAUUGAAAGAAAACUGGAUGAAGAUAUUUACUCCUAUUGUGGAACAUUUGGGACUUCAGAUACGCUUUAACUUGAAAUCAAGGAAUGUAGAAAUCAGGACUUGUAAAGAAACGAAGGAUGUUAGUGCUCUGACAAAAGCAGCUGAUUUUGUGAAAGCUUUUAUUCUAGGCUUUCAGGUGGAGGAUGCACUUGCCCUCAUCAGGUUGGAUGACCUCUUCCUAGAGUCUUUUGAAAUUACAGAUGUUAAACCCCUAAAGGGAGACCAUCUAUCCAGGGCAAUAGGAAGAAUCGCUGGCAAAGGAGGAAAAACCAAAUUCACCAUAGAGAAUGUGACAUGGACGCGGAUAGUUUUGGCUGAUGUGAAAGUUCACAUCCUUGGCUCCUUCCAAAACAUCAAGAUGGCAAGAACUGCCAUUUGCAACCUAAUCUUGGGAAAUCCUCCUUCCAAGGUUUAUGGCAAUAUUCGAGCUGUGGCUAGCAGAUCAGCAGAUCGAUUCUGAUUUCAAGUCAGAGACUUUUUAUCUUGCCUUUGGACUCUGGAGAAAAAUACUUUAUGAGGGGUCGGUCACAAAAAACCAUCUGAAGAAUUUCAGUCAUUUGAAGCCUCUGUACCUUCUUCCAUUCUCAGCCAGAAGCAUAAACAGAAAAGAAAGAUUUAGGAGUAUUCACACUCAACAGGUUUUAGAAUAAUUUAAAUAUCAAAAAUUGAUUCUAUUAUACUUACACCUUAGGUAUAAUUUAUCAUUUAUCUGAAAUUACAUGUAGCAGAUUACAUAGUCUGUAAUCCUCAGAGGGAAACUUCUUUAAACAAGAAGUUAAAACAGCUCUAUAUGAAUAAGUUUAAACAGCUCUAUAUGAAUUUAUACUUUUAUAUUUAUAAAUUUAUAACUUCAUAAAAAUUUAUAAACAUUUAUUCUUUAUAAUUGUAAUUUAAUAGAUUAUCUCAGAAAAACCUCUCUGAAUGAUAACCCUUCCUUACUACUGGGUGAUGUGUAAAUAUUUGUUGGGGGACAGGGUCUCACUUUGUCACCCAGGCUGGAGUGCAGUGGU